rnacentral:rRNA from 1 species
AGAGUUUGAUCAUGGCUCAGGACGAACGCUGGCGGCGUGCUUAACACAUGCAAGUCGAGCGAUGAAACACCUUCGGGUGUGAAUUAGCGGCGAACGGGUGAGGAACACGUGAAGAAUCUGCCUUCAACUCUGGGAUAACUCCGGGAAACCGGGGCUAAUACCGGAUAUGAGCCUCGAUCGCAUGAUUGGGGCUGGAAAGUUUUUCGGUUGAAGAUGACUUCGCGGCCUAUCAGCUUGUUGGUGAGGUAAUGGCUCACCAAGGCGACGACGGGUAGCCGGCCUGAGAGGGCGACCGGCCACACUGGGACUGAGACACGGCCCAGACUCCUACGGGAGGCAGCAGUGGGGAAUAUUGGGCAAUGGAGGAAACUCUGACCCAGCGACGCCGCGUGAGGGAUGAAGGCCUUCGGGUUGUAAACCUCUUUCAGUAGGGAAGAAGCGAAAGUGACGGUACCUACAGAAGAAGCACCGGCUAACUAUGUGCCAGCAGCCGCGGUAAUACAUAGGGUGCAAGCGUUGUCCGGAAUUAUUGGGCGUAAAGAGCUCGUAGGUGGUUCGAUACGUCGGAUGUGAAAAUCAGGGGCUCAACCCCUGACCUGCAUCCGAUACGGUCGAGCUAGAGUUUGGUAGGGGAGACUGGAAUUCCUGGUGUAGCGGUGGAAUGCGCAGAUAUCANGAGGAACACCGAUGGCGAAAGCAGGUCUCUGGGCCAAUACUGACACUGAGGAGCGAAAGCGUGGGGAGCGAACAGGAUUAGAUACCCUGGUAGUCCACGCCGUAAACGGUGGGCGCUAGUUGUGCGAACCUUCCACGGGUUGUGCGACGCAGCUAACGCAUUAAGCGCCCCGCCUGGGGAGUACGAUCGCAGAUUAAAACUCAANGAAUUGACGGGGCCUCGCACAAGCAGCGGAGCAUG